AGUGCAACAGCGGGGCCAGCCCUACAAACGCGAAUGUCUGUGACUGACUGACUGAUGAAGUUACACCAUUGGUCGGCCGAGUUAUGAAGUUACACCAUUGGUCGGCCGGAUCACGUGUGUUAGGUCCGGCCAUAUACUAGGUUUUGACCUGGUCUUGUUUUCCCAACACUCUACGUCAAUGACCGCAAUGAAACAGAGAGGCAUGCAGAUUUUUUUUUU